GACGAACGCUGGCGGCGUGCUUAACACAUGCAAGUCGAACGGAAAGGCCCUGCUUUUGUGGGGUGCUCGAGUGGCGAACGGGUGAGUAACACGUGAGUAACCUGCCCUUGACUUUGGGAUAACUUCAGGAAACUGGGGCUAAUACCGGAUAGGAGCUCCUGCUGCAUGGUGGGGGUUGGAAAGUUUCGGCGGUUGGGGAUGGACUCGCGGCUUAUCAGCUUGUUGGUGGGGUAGUGGCUUACCAAGGCUUUGACGGGUAGCCGGCCUGAGAGGGUGACCGGCCACAUUGGGACUGAGAUACGGCCCAGACUCCUACGGGGGGCAGCAGUGGGGAAUAUUGCACAAUGGGCGGAAGCCUGAUGCAGCAACGCCGCGUGCGGGAUGACGGCCUUCGGGUUGUAAACCGCUUUCGCCUGUGACGAAGCGUGAGUGACGGUAAUGGGUAAAGAAGCACCGGCUAACUACGUGCCAGCAGCCGCGGUGAUACGUAGGGUGCGAGCGUUGUCCGGAUUUAUUGGGCGUAAAGGGCUCGUAGGUGGUUGAUCGCGUCGGAAGUGUAAUCUUGGGGCUUAACCCUGAGCGUGCUUUCGAUACGGGUUGACUUGAGGAAGGUAGGGGAGAAUGGAAUUCCUGGUGGAGCGGUGGAAUGCGCAGAUAUCAGGAGGAACACCAGUGGCGAAGGCGGUUCUCUGGGCCUUUCCUGACGCUGAGGAGCGAAAGCGUGGGGAGCGAACAGGCUUAGAAUACCCUGGUAGUCCACGCUGUAAACGGUGGGUACUAGGUGUGGGGUCCAUUCCACGGGUUCCGUGCCGUAGCUAACGCUUUAAGUACCCCGCCUGGGGAGUACGGCCGCAAGGCUAAAACUCAAAGGAAUUGACGGGGCCCCGCACAAGCGGCGGAGCAUGCGGAUUAAUUCGAUGCAACGCGUAGAACCUUACUUGGGUUUGACAUGGAUCGGGAGUGCUCAGAGAUGGGUGUGCCUCUUUUGGGGUCGGUUCACAGGUGGUGCAUGGCUGUCGUCAGCUCGUGUCGUGAGAUGUUGGGUUAAGUCCCGCAACGAGCGCAACCCUUGUUCACUGUUGCCAGCACGUUAUGGUGGGGACUCAGUGGAGACCGCCGGGGUCAACUCGGAGGAAGGUGGGGAUGACGUCAAGUCAUCAUGCCCCUUAUGUCCAGGGCUUCACGCAUGCUACAAUGGCUGGUACAGAGAGUGGCGAGCCUGUAAGGGUGAGCGAAUCUCGGAAAGCCGGUCUCAGUUCGGAUUGGGGUCUGCAACUCGACCUCAUGAAGUCGGAGUCGCUAGUAAUCGCAGAUCAGCAACGCUGCGGUGAAUACGUUCCCGGGGCU
rnacentral:rRNA from 1 species